rnacentral:lncRNA from 1 species
GUUUGUGUUGUGAAAUUAACCUCUUCAAAGCUAAUCUUGUUGGGGAGUUAGCCAAACCCCUUGUAUUCCAAUAGAUGCACUUCAUUUGAAAGGUUUUUGAUUAACCUUUGACCUGGUUGCAUAAGAUUCUUUACUUGAUUGAUUCACCUUCUUUUGAGCUUUCUUUUGAUUUUUGGAUAGAAUUAUUUGGAAUCCAUCAUCAAUUUGAGUUUGUUGUUUUUCUGUUUCCUCAACUACACAAUCUUCUUUUUUUGCUUCUUCUGUCAUGUUGUCCCAAGACUCUCUAAGAAAAUGCAUGUCUCUUUUCACUCUUUCGGAUGUGCCGGCUAACUGGGAGGUUGGAGUUUCAGGUAAACCAACACCACUAGCUGGUUGUUUUUGAGUAGCAUCAAUAAAGGAUCCUGCUGAGCUAGCAUUUGCCUUACUUGAAGCAGUUUUCUCAUUACUAGUUUCAUGGCCUAUAUCGGCAUUUAACUCAUUCUCCAGCUCCUUGUCUUGUUCUCUAAACUCCUGCUCCUUGUCUUUCUCAAGUAACAGCUCCUGUUCAUUGGUUUUUUGUUGGGAUGCUUCAACAUUGAUAACUUCUUUUUCCACAUUGAUAAUUUCAUUUGUUUUGUCCUGCUGAACUCUGCCAUCUUUUGUUUGGACAAACACAUUUUUUG